rnacentral:ncRNA from 1 species
UCGGUUCCGGUUCACGCUCCAAAGCUCCAGGUAAGGCAAGGGCGACCCGGCGGCC